ACAUAGAUGAAGUUUAUAGCAGCGAAUCAAGUAUUAUAGGCAGUUUGAAAUCAGUGAAUGACUUCAAUCCAGUUGAAGUUCCUUCAAAUUCCCCUUUGAAUUUUGAUAUGGUGAUGCUUGAGAUUUAUUGAGUCCGAAUUUGGAAAACUGUGCUGAAAUAAAAGUUGUAGAUCGUCUCAAUACGAGUUCGUGACCACAAACGGUUUGUAAAUCCGAGUUCGGACGAGGAAGAUAUGGCCGAAACAAGAAAGUUGCGCGCAGCAGUGAAUAGUACCCGACGGGAAUUUCCGAAUUUUCGGGAUUUUGCGGGAUUUUCGGAUUUUAUCAGUAUUUUCGAGCUCUAUACUGUAUUUAUCCCUUGUGCCUAUAUAUAGGUCAUUUCCCUGACCUAUUAGACACAUCUUUUCACAUCUCUUCACCUCCUUUCUUUUUCUUUUUUUCAGUUUUACAUUCAGUUUUCAUAGAUUAGAUUUAUUUAUGCAGAUUCAAGCUGUUCAUCCAGAAUUUAUUCCGGGUUUUAUCUAUUUCAUUUAUUUUAAUUGCUUUCUACGUUCUGUUGCCUGUCUACUACUUAAGUUUGUUUAGGAGAUAGAUAAAGUCGUUUCGUUGUGUCAAUCCCUGUGGAUACGAUAUUCGGUUACUUAUUAUUUUUGCUACAACUGCACCGUGUUAGUUGCGGUAUUUUGUGCUAAUAAUUUAGUGAUCACUGUGUAUCUCCUCAAUAGACUCCAGAUCAGCGUGAUCUCUGCGUCUAAUUGACUUAUGAAAUAUGAUUAAGAGUUGAUCAAGAAAGCUCUUGGUCAUGUUAACCGAUUAGUGAUUUCCAUUUAUGCAAUUACUACUAUUUAUUCACUAUAAUCAAUGAUACGCAGGACAAAGAACCACCUCAUGGCAAUGAUGACGAUCAGCCCAUGGCAUCUGGAGAAGAAGAUGGAAAAGUUAAUGCAAAGGAGAAAUCUGGUUCUGGAGUUGGUCCAGAAGUUGGGGAAAAUACUUACUCUGCAGUGGCUAUAGGAAUAAAUAUAUGGGUGGCCAACGAUUAUGUACCUAUGGUUGAACCAAUACUUCACUUAUUUAUUAGAAUGUUCUUUAUAUUGAGAUGCAUUACUUAUUAUUUGUUAUUUUGCUGAUUUAACCAAUGCUUUCAAUAAAUUUAGAUACGCUAUGCAAUAGCCCAAAGACCCGUUUUUAGCUUCAGUUUGAAGGGCUAAAUGAAAGGGACAUUCUAUGAAAGGGAUCCAGACUCGCCUUAUCUAAUCAAUGCCUUUCAGCUGAUUGGAAUGUCCUCGUGCCUCGACCUUUCUGGCUUCUUUGAGAAAGAGUUUGUUUCUGAGAGGAAUAUCAGGUUUACAUCAAAUCACUGUCCAAAAGAAUUACUGGAGAGAAUUGAACAUACAGUUGUAGAAAUGGGAUUUCAUGCCCAUAAGAAAAACGGAAAGUUGAAAGUCACGCUAUAACUCAAAGAUCAGAAAGCACCAAAAAUUCUCUCAGUAGCUGCAGAAGUGAGUGAGAGUGAAUGUGGAAGGAGAUGCUGGUAUAGCUAGCUUCCCAUGGUCUCUUUAUUCUGUUACUUAGGCUCUUCUUAUUUUAGUUGGUGAUUAGAGACGAUGUCAUUGUGUGUAUGUGGCAUAAUUCUAUUGUUACUAAUAUGAUAGGCACGAUCAUGCGAGGGCUGUGGAGAUUCUUACAAUUGUCUUUGAAUAACCCAGAAUGACAAUACAUGGAUUCUCUUAGAUGCAUGAGUAUUGCUCAUUUGUAUUCUUAAAAAUGUAUGUUUUGAGAAAACAGUAUAGUAUGCAUCGAAUAGUAUCUAUUUUACAACUAUCAAUAUGAAUUUUUUGUAUCAAGAACUGUUUCAGCUAUGGUGCUGGCUUGCUCGGUUCUUUGGCAUCCAUGUGAAUGCUUGGCAGUAUUGAUUCCAUGGCCGAUGGAGCAAGAGAGGUGAUCAAAACUUCUCAUUGCACGGGAGUAAUGGAGCAGCCAAGACUGUUGGUCACAUAUUACAAGCUUUAGCAUGUCUGCCGAUUUUAUUGUCCUCACUCUUAAGAUGAAAAGUUAUAUUCAGAACAACUUAUGAAUAGUUUGGAUUCGAGUUCAGAGCCUUAAAGAAGGUCAAAUCACAAUGGAUAUUGACUUACGCUGGGGUGGUCAUCCUACCAAAACAAAUCUGUAUUUUGCAUCAAGUUUAGCACAUCUGAUUCCCUUAACAUCCUACUCUUCUCAUCUCUCUCAACUACUCUGGUACCUUUCAUGCCAGUUGGAGAUCCCAAAGCAGUUAUUUCAUCCAAAUGUAUUCAAUGGCUGAAUAAUUCUUUUCUUGAAUAUAUUGGAGAGGCUUGUCUCGGCAGAAGGACAACAACCGCCUUUACACUAGGUAGGUUCUUAUCUAUAGUCAUUCUAUGACCAUGUAGUUGGACUUGAUUUCAUUAAUACUUUUGUGUUCCCUUGCUUUCCCCGGGUUUGGGGAUGUGAAACUUCAAAACCCAGAAAACAAAGCUUUUUCCCAUAAGUUCCAUAAGAAUUAUGCGGGGAAGAUUUUGGCGUGCCAUCUAAAUUUGUUGAAUGUGAUCCGUGUUGGAGGCUAUUUGCCUGAGAUAGUUAUCGAUCUUAUCUUGCAAUAUCUUAGCAAUAGGUUCAUAAUCAA